UCUGGUGUGGGGGAGGGGCCGAGAGCAGCUCCUGGCCGAGCGAGGGUCCCUUUGCAGGCCUCUGGCCCUGCGUCCUGCCUCCUCCUCCCUCCUCCACCCCACCGUCCUGAGGGGGUUGCGGGGGCUGCCGGGAAGGAAGGCCAGGCCCUCCCCCCGCCCUGCCUGAGAGGCGGGGACCAGAGACCCUCACUGGCAGUGGGGUUUGCCAAGGCCCCGCCGUGGGGCUCUGCCCCUUAGUCUCCAGUGAGAUUGCACCCACCCCAUCUGAAGGCCAGAAACCCAGGCAGAGCGAGAAGCCGGCAGCCUGGGGCACCUGGGCUGCUGGCCUGGAAGGGCACGAGGUCAAGGUGACACGCUCCAGCCAGAGUACCACAUCUUACCCCGCCACCAAGGCUGCCGGGAUGCAGACGCUGGCUGCUGGCCAGAGCCCAGCCCCGCCAUUCCCACCCAAGCUGCCGGUUCAUGGGUUCUGUCUGCAGCCGUCCGGAAGCUGUGAGCCAGGGGCCAGCGGGGCGUGGUGCUGAGGCCGACACCAUCUGGUGGGGCCGGCAAGGCGGUGCUCGGGUACCUGGCAGCCAAGGGAAGCCACGGCUCCACAGGGCAGGGAGCUACAGACCCCCAGCCUGGCCAGGUCCCUGGGUGCAGAGUCCCAGCCCCCAUCCCAUCGUGCCCAGGACAGUCUGGAGGGUGGAUUUAAGCUUUUUUCCUAGGUGAGCUCGGGGGUCAGUGGGGGCUCCCUGCUCACCCCUGCCUGUAUCUUGGGCAAAAGAUGUGAGAUGGGGGGUUG